UACGUAGGGGGCAAGCGUUGUCCGGAUUUAUUGGGCGUAAAGAGCGUGUAGGCGGCCAGGUAGGUCAGCUGUGAAAACUCGAGGCUCAACCUCGAGACGCCGAUGGAAACCAUCUGGCUAGAGUCCGGAAGAGGAGAGUGGAAUUCCUGGUGUAGCGGUGAAAUGCGCAGAUAUCAGGAAGAACACCCGUGGCGAAGGCGGCUCUCUGGUACGUGACUGACGCUGAGACGCGAAAGCGUGGGGAGCAAACAGG
rnacentral:rRNA from 1 species